CCUACGGGGAGCAGCAGUGGGGAAUAUUGGACAAUGGGGGGAACCCUGAUCCAGCCAUGCCGCGUGUGUGAAGAAGGCCCUCGGGUUGUAAAGCACUUUCAGUGAGGAAGAACGCCUGGUGGUUAAUACCCAUCAGGAAAGACAUCACUCACAGAAGAAGCACCGGCUAACUCCGUGCCAGCAGCCGCGGUAAUACGGAGGGUGCGAGCGUUAAUCGGAAUUACUGGGCGUAAAGCGCGCGUAGGUGGCUUGAUAAGCCGGUUGUGAAAGCCCCGGGCUCAACCUGGGAACGGCAUCCGGAACUGUCAAGCUAGAGUGCAGUAGAGGAAGGUAGAAUUCCCGGUGUAGCGGUGAAAUGCGUAGAGAUCGGGAGGAAUACCAGUGGCGAAGGCGGCCUUCUGGACUGACACUGACACUGAGGUGCGAAAGCGUGGGUAGCAAACAGGAGUAGAUACCCGGGUAGUC
rnacentral:rRNA from 1 species